GCUAAAAGGGGCGAGGUUUGCUAUCACGUGGAUACUGCAGGCCCGGACAUGUCUCAUCUUUAGUUAAGCCUCCGCGACAAGUGUGAAAACCAGUUUGCUGCUGUUCCGUCCGCUGAUAAUGAGUGUUUCUAGUCCACGUGCUAAUAAUAAGUGUUUUUAGUUUCUGGUGCGAUCUUUCGAUCUUUGGUUUUCAUAAACCUGACUAUCGUCCUUAAUCGCGUUUUGAUUUCCCCAUUAUUCAUCCGUGUUUACUUCUGUGUUCCUGGGAUUCGCUCGGUACGACAGGAUUUGGACAUAUUUUUCCGUUCGUUCAUCAAAGUGAAUCGGGUCGGAACUCGUGCAAUGCGGGUAAAUUCCAACAUUAUUGAGGGCGGAUAGUGUGUAAACGCUUACAAAAUUGGCGGAGACUCCUUGGGAAUCCCAGUGAAUUCAGUGUUACAUGUGACUGUCAUCGAUUUCAAUUUUCAAAAUUUAGAAAAAAGUGAUCAGUGUCAAUUCGGUAAUUGCGCGUGUGAUGUGCUUUAUGUGAACUGUUGUAGGAGUGUCACAUGUGAAGGGGUUGCAGAUAUUAAUAUGCUUUGAUAAGGAUAUCAGGCGCAUUACAAUGGGAUAAACUUCUAAAAGGAAAAUUGGGCGGAUCGAUGAUUUGGGCCUCAAAAUCAUACCAGGUAUCCAGUUGGCAGAUCAUCUGGUUACAGAAUUGCGAGAAUUGCGUUUGGAUAUUGCUGGAGACGAAGGAUUGAUCCGGAUGCGGACGAAGGAUUGAUGCUUGUUUGAAAAAUCUUUCACACGCUUCCCUUGCGAAACAGAAUAAAAGCUACUUAAGGAUACCUAACCGACUGGAUAUUCCACUAUGACAUUUGCUCAAGAUAAGCCGAUCAGUUGAAAUCAUGGAGACGCUCCACAACCUUUCUUUCAAGGGGGAUAUCUUCGAAGUAGCACAACCCACGUUAAGGAGUUUCAUGCCUAAAUAUUUUUUACAUUAAAAU